UACGUAGGGAGCUAGCGUUGUUCGGAAUUACUGGGCGUAAAGCGCACGUAGGCGGCUUUGUAAGUUAGAGGUGAAAGCCCGGGGCUCAACCCCGGAAUUGCCUUUAAGACUGCAUCGCUUGAAUCCGGGAGAGGUGAGUGGAAUUCCGAGUGUAGAGGUGAAAUUCGUAGAUAUUCGGAAGAACACCAGUGGCGAAGGCGGCUCACUGGACCGGCAUUGACGCUGAGGUGCGAAAGCGUGGGGAGCAAACAGG
rnacentral:rRNA from 1 species